AUUGAACGCUGGCGGCAUGCCUUACACAUGCAAGUCGAACGGCAGCACGGGAGCAAUCCUGGUGGCGAGUGGCGAACGGGUGAGUAAUAUAUCGGAACGUGCCCGGUCGUGGGGGAUAACGUAGCGAAAGCUACGCUAAUACCGCAUACGAUCUACGGAUGGAAGCGGGGGAUCGCAAGACCUCGCGCGAUUGGAGCGGCCGAUAUCAGAUUAGGUAGUUGGUGAGGUAAAGGCUCACCAAGCCGACGAUCUGUAGCUGGUCUGAGAGGACGACCAGCCACACUGGGACUGAGACACGGCCCAGACUCCUACGGGAGGCAGCAGUGGGGAAUUUUGGACAAUGGGCGCAAGCCUGAUCCAGCAAUGCCGCGUGCAGGAUGAA
rnacentral:rRNA from 1 species